UGCAAAUGAUGCUAACUGCUGUCUGAAUACACCUGAUGACAACCACCAAGAUCGCUGAUGCA
rfam:Aptenodytes forsteri contig68068, whole genome shotgun sequence.